CUUUGGGCUGUAACUAACAAAAGACCAAAUUUUAUAAGGUUUAAAAGAUAAGACCAUUUUUUUUUAUCUCAUCCAUUAGGGAAGAAGUCUUUGUAUAUAGCAAUACCAAGUUACUCAAUGGUUAAUUCAGUUGUUAUGGGACAACAUCAAGGAGGUUUCCAUUUGUUAAUCUUCAAGUCCAUCAUUGUCAAUUCACCUUAAAUUCUUGACUCUUUCCUCUUCAAGGGUGUUUCUGAAAGCAAAAGCUCUGUGUCCACACUACAUUAAGUAAACAACAGCCCUCUUACUGUGGUCUGACUGUUUAUGUCCCCCCAAAAUUUAUAUAUUGAAAUCUAAUCACCACAGUGAUAGAAUGAGGUCAUAGAUAGGAUGAGGUCAUGAGGGUGGAACCCUCAUGGUUGGGCUUAUUUCCAUACAAAAGACAUAUAGAGAGCUACCUAAUCUCUUCAAUGGUGUAAGGACAGAGUGAGAAGGUGCCAUCUAUGAGCCAGGAAACAGGCUCUCGUCAGACACCAAUGCAGCCAGUGACUUGCUCUUGAACUUCCCAGCCUCCAGAACUCCUUAACUACAGCUUUGAAUGGACAAGAGACUGAUUUCAGUAAAUAUCUCCAGGUCAGAAGAACCAGCAACCAUCGACUAGCUCUGAUUUCAUCAAGGUUUGUUGAACUUGACAAGACAAAGUUAAAUUCAUUUGGAAGACCAAAGAGCCACAAAUCACUUUGUAUGAAAAAGACAGAAGCUAAAGUGCACAGAGAGGCAAAUAAAAUACAGAAACAGGACAGGCGUGGUGGCUCACAUCUGCAAUCCCAACACUUUGGGAGGCGAAGAGGGAGGAUUCCUUGAGCAUAGGAGUUCAAGACCAGGCUGGGCAACAUGGUAAGACCCUCCCAUAUCUACAAAAAAAAAAAAAUUUAAUUAGCUGGAUUCAGUGGCAUGCACCUGUGGUCCCAGCUACGCAGGAGGCUGAGGUAGAAGGAUCUCUUGAGCCCGGAAGUUUGAAGCUGCAGUGAGCUGCGAUCACGCCACUGCAAUCUAGUGUGGUGACCAGAGUGAGACCCUGUCCCAAAAAAGAAAAAGAAACAAUAUGUUUAUCAAACAUCUUGUGA
rnacentral:lncRNA from 13 species